CCUACGGGGUGCAGCAGUGAGGAAUAUUGGUCAAUGGACGGAAGUCUGAACCAGCCAUGCCGCGUGCAGGAAGACGGCUCUAUGAGUUGUAAACUGCUUUUGUACAAGGGUAAACCUGAAUACGUGUAUUCAGCUGAAAGUACUGUACGAAUAAGGAUCGGCUAACUCCGUGCCAGCAGCCGCGGUAAUACGGAGGAUCCAAGCGUUAUCCGGAUUUAUUGGGUUUAAAGGGUGCGUAGGCGGAGUGAUAAGUUAGAGGUGAAAUGUCCGAGCUUAACUCGGGAACUGCCUCUAAUACUGGUGGUCUAGAGAGUAGAUGCGGUAGGCGGAAUGUGUGGUGUAGCGGUGAAAUGCUUAGAGAUCAUACAGAACACCGAUUGCGAAGGCAGCUUACCAAUCUAUAUCUGACGUUGAGGCACGAAAGCGUGGGGAGCAAACAGGAUUAGAUACCCGUGUAGUC
rnacentral:rRNA from 1 species